AAACUUUCAACAAUGGAUCUCUUGGCUCUCGCAUCGAUGAAGAACGCAGCGAAAUGCGAUAAGUAAUAUGAAUUGCAGAAUUCCGUGAAUCAUCAAAUUUUUGAACGCAAAUUGCACUUCUUGGCGUUCCGAGGAGUACACAUGCUUGAGGGUCAGU
rnacentral:rRNA from 1 species